CCACAUGUAAAUAGCACGGUGAUUUCAAAUAAGACCUUGAUACAUUACAACACUUGCCGUCAGUAUUUGAAUAUAUAUAUUGAUUAAGAAGGUUGUCAGCAAGAUGAAAAGGACAAGUAUGCAGUUCAAAAUUCAAAAUGUGGAUAAGCUGAGGUUCAAGGUCUUACCUUUGCAGAUUUUCAUAUUUUGCAUGAAUGAAUUCAAAGGUUAUAUGAUGGAUGGCAGAGAAAGAAAAAAAAACUUUUCAAUUAUCCUGCUCCUGGAUAAAUGUAAAACAUCUUGUUUUUCGAAGGAUUGAAAUUCACCACCUAGAAUAAAUGGAGAAAACAUAAAAACAAGACCAGAAUAAAUAUAAAGACAAAAGUUGGAUCAGUUAUUAUUUUCAUCACUCAGUCAAUGAUUUGAAGUUCUUUUAAAUACAAAAAAAUAUUGAAACCAAAAUAAUGUCAAAGUUCUGUGCUGAAUGACCAAAAAGUGGACUAUACCAUCAAACAAUGCUGGAUGAUAAGAAACUAUUAAUGUUUUGUGUUGAGGGAAAUUGUGAAAAAAAAUUAGAUUUACUUAAAUAGCUACUAGUACAUGUAGUAUUUUAAGCCUAACAAUGGAGUUUUUAUUGAU